rnacentral:tRNA from 1 species
ACCUGGCUGGCUCAGUCAGUAGAGCAUGUGACUCUUGAUCUCCAGGUUAUGGGUUCAAGCCCCAAGUUGGGUG